rnacentral:rRNA from 1 species
UACGAAGGGGGCUAGCGUUGUUCGGAAUUACUGGGCGUAAAGGGCGCGUAGGCGGCGUGUCAAGUCAGGCGUGAAAGCCCCCGGGCUCAACCUGGGAACCGCGCUUGAGACUGGCAUGCUCGAGUUCGGGAGAGGAUGGUGGAAUUCCCAGUGUAGAGGUGAAAUUCGUAGAUAUUUGGGAAGAACACCGAUGGCGAAGGCAGCCAUCUGGACCGACACUGACGCUGAGGCGCGAAAAGCGUGGGGGAGCAAACAGG